GAACUACUGGACUGAAAACAGCAUAAACUUCCACUAAACAGCCUUAAAGGUUCGAUCGGGCAUCCUACUCCAUUGCUGCCCAAUGUAGCAGAAGCUUUAAAAAAAAAAAGUGAAAGAAAGUUUCUUCACAUCAGUGAAAUGAUGCAUGGAGUGUUCAAGAUGUGGAAAGCAGGUUCAAACCACA